GGCUGUGUCUUUGGGAUGGGAAGGGAACGGUGCGAAACGGAGCGGGUGCGCACCGACCGGGGCAGCGCAAGUUCAGGAGGCAGGGGCGCGGAGGAGGCGCGCUCCCGGGGGUGUACCCGUGUUCGUGCUGGGGGCGCUGUGCACGGACGGAGGGGAGCCCGGGGAGGGGCGGGCACGGAGCGGGCUGCGGGCGCCGCUGUGCUCGUCCGUGUGCGUGUCCGGCUGUUCCCUGCGGAGCGGGAAGCGCGCACCCCCGGGCGCCGGACGGGGCGGUGCCUCCCGGAGGAGCGAGCGCCGCCUCCCGGGCCGCGGGGCGGGCCGCGCUCGGCCUCCCGCUCGGGCCUUGCGUGCUCGGGCCCGGCCGCGCCUGGAGAGGCGGCGAUGGAGGCGGCGGGCGGCGGAGCGGCGGGCGGCAUCGCCCUGCACGACUUCAGCGGGCAGCUGGGCGAGCAGCGGGUGCACUUCCACGCCAUGCGCCUGCGGGACUCGCUCUUCCUCUGGGUGGGCGCCGCCCCCGCCCUCGCCAGCCUGGCCGUCGCCAUGUGCAGCCCCCGUGACAGCAUCCCGGUGGCCGCCUCGCUCCUGGGGGACCCCUCGGACACCGCCUCCUCCUGCCUGGCGCAGCGCUUGGCCAGCAAGACCAAAAAGCAGAUAUUUGUCAGCUACAAUCUUCAAAACACAGACAGCAAUUUCACCUUACUCAUAGAGAACAGGAUCAAAGAAGAAAUGACAGCUUUUCCAGAGAAGUUCUGAUUGUGCAUCAUUGUAAAAGAAGAUGAAGAUUUGGUUUCAGAAAAACUGAUUGCAAUUUUCUCACUGACAUUAAAAUUUGAAUUUUCAAAGCAAUUUUUUUUGCUACCCUGCCAAGUAGGAUAUCAAAUGGAUGGUGCAAUGGAUGAACAUCAUUGAAAAAGUGCAUGUGAUAUCUGGCUUCCACACAGUACUGGGAUCUGAUGGCAAAUCCAAAUGCUAUCUGCACAAUUAAUCUACUGUGUACUAGCACUGAACAUAGUAGCAGCUUUUAGUGUUCAAAUAAAGAAACCCCACAUUUUUGUAUGGUAAAGCUGUGACAUGAGUGGUACUUUUAGCCCCUCUUGGUUGUAGUACUGGUGCUAAACAAUGGAUUUCUUCCAUUCCUUGGACACUAAGAACACUAGAAUGGAUUUCACAAAGGGUUAUUUUUGCAUCCCUGAGGUCUACAUAGAAGGAAAAAGCACAAGCCGAGUUCUGGAGCAAUAGAUAAAUCUGUCAGGCUGGUAGAAGAGCAUCACAAUGUAAAUUGAGCAUACACAUAAAAUCAGAGAGGUCUACUACCAUGACCACCAGUGAAAAGCAUCCUGCUGCUACAUCUCUGGACUUGCCUUCAGGUAGGGUAUCCUUUCAGAGGCAGAUCCAGGGACUGUUUUGUCUAACGAGAUGGCAGCUAGGAGUUAACUUUCCAGGUUUUCCAGAUUUUGGUGGGUUUUGUUGAUUUGGGUUGGUUCUUUUUGGUUUUUUUUUUCAUUCCUAGUUGAGCCCUGACUUGAGCUUAAUCAUCAGCUUCUGAUACAAACCAAAAUUAAACUACCAGUGCUGCUUCUAGACAACUGUCCUAAGCACCUACAGAAAAGUGAUGAAUUUACCUUGCUGUGGUGCCACAGCAAUUAAAAACUGUAACUGAGAGGCUGCUGGUGUAGAAGGCACAGCUGCUGAGUCUCUAGUCCAAAAGGGUUUGAACACCCAGAAGCUUCCAUGUCUCAGAUCUGGUGUGGGUGCAGAGGGCCCCUCCUUACCUGGUGGGAACAGCUGUCCUUGGCCGCAGUUCAAGAUCAGAAUAGCAAAAAGCAACUGUUGAAGGGUAUUUUCUUUAUAAUUUACACUACCCAGGAAACAGUCAACUGUGCUUCUGCAAUUGACUAUAAAAGACAAUUAGAGCUGCAAAUCAAUGUGCUGUUUUCAUUAGCCUGAUUUCCAAACAGCUCAUUCUGUAGAGCAGGGUAGGGCUAUUUGCUGAGGCAUCAGCUGCUGCUGGAUGUUUGAGAAGUCCCUGCAAGGGAACCAGACCAAGGAGAGCAAACUGAUGGGACAACGUCAUUUUAUUCUGUACAUUUACAUACAAAGUUCUCAGUAGGUAGAACAGAUGUAACAUCAUGCAGACAUUUAGCUUGUAAGACUGUUUUCAGUACUUGAUUUAAGCUUGUGCUAUGAGGAAGCACCACCAGACUAUUCAUGAUCAAAACAUACAGUAACACGAUUCUUUAAAACUUCAUCAGAAACUGAAAUGGGGAGGGAGAUCUCGCCCACUAGACAAAACACACCAUAAUCCUUUCCCAAAACAUUUUACACAAUACAUUUAAAAUGAGGUUUGUAAUUUCAUUUUUUUCUUAAAAAAUAAAAUUAAAAAAAAGUUUCAGUGGAGAGAUCAUCCCCCCACUCAAUAGUGUUGUCUUAUGUGCCAGCUACAGGCGCAACUUGAUUUGACAUUCACAGAGUUCAGUUAAUGGCACUUCUGCUUCCAAUUUGGUGACCAAUAAAGUGUGUGGCUCCAGGAAGUGGCAAUAGUAAAAGUAAAAAUAGUAAGUAAAAUACUUCCACUAAAAAGAACGACAACAAAAAAAGCCUGCUCAGUGAAACCCAAAAGUAAACCCCACAACCCGCUUUCAGAGUGGCCACAAAACACUUGCAAACAGGUGACUGUCAUUAUCCGUUUGCAGUGUGUCUGGCAACAAAAGUGUACUGAAACCUUAAAACGGGGACAAAACCCCCAAGAUCAAGCAUAAUGUCACUUCACAUUUUUGUUUGAACUUGCAAAGAUGGAGAAAGCCCUUAAAUGGUAAACCCAAAGAAAAAUCUACUGAUGGGCUUUAGAGGUUGCUGAAGGUUCACAGAAAAAGGGCCAAAAUGGGCAAGACAGCUUGGACUGCUUCCCCCAUUGUGGCAGCCAGAAAAAGCCACCUGAGAAAAGCCUUUCCUGGUGAUGGCUGCAGAGGAGACAUGGCCAAGGAGCCAAUGGUGCAGCAGGCUGGGACUCCAGCAGAGAGCCCUGUCCUGCUGCAGGACUAGACAAGGCAGGGCAAGCAUCCCCAUGCUUCCUUUCUGCCCUGCUGCAUCACCUGGUACCUGGCUCCUCCACACAGGGUAGAUUUAAGUGAAAACUUUCCAACUCCAUGAGCAUGUGUGGAAGAACAUAAUCAUCACAGAAGUGUUCAUAUUUUCAGGAAAAGGAGCAAAACUGGAACUGCCAAGGCAGGAAAUUAGUUUUUGCUUUAUUUUGUGGCAGAGGCAGAGGGACAGACUGACUAGAGAAGCUGGGGCUCCCUUCAUUGCAGAUCAGUACCGACUACCUGAUUUCAAGCAGAAAACCAAAAAAGUAGCAAAUCAACUUCAUAAGAUAUU